CUGAAUACAGAGAAGAGGAUAAGACUGAGGAUAAGACUGAGAGUGGGGCCGUGGGAGCUGGUGCCAGCUCCACCUCAGAACAGCUAAGAACAGGAACACAUAUAAGGCACCUACUAUGUGCCCAGCACUGUGCGAGGCUUUCAAUAUAUUCUCUCUAAUCCUUGCCACCACUUUGUGAGUUAAGUAUUCAAGACCCAUUUCACAAAUGAGGAAACAGACACAGCAAGUUUAAUUUAGUUGCCCAGUCACACAGCUACGUGAGAGGAGCGCCCCCUGGUUCCACAGGAGGUACUACAUUUUCCAGUAAAGCUUUCCUCAACAUAGACACUGUGAAUGGCCACGGCUGUGUUGGGAGCUGCAGCCUGAGGAGCUGUGUGUGGACUGCUGGCUCAGUGAGCGGGAAAGCUCUGUCACAGAGAAAAGGAGUGACGCUUGUGUGAUCAUGGGGGAGCCUGGACCUCGAGAGGCCUGCCAUGGGCAAAGACGUCUCUGUACCUCUUGGACUCACCCCCUGGCAUCUCUCCUCUCUCCUAGAAGGGUCUUGCAAGAUAAGCAGGGUUUCCUAAGUGAUA